CUGGGGAGAUAGUUUAAGUAAAAACACAGCAGUCCCCGCCCCGUGACGUAACACGGACGGUUACACUGACUAGGAGCAAACAAGAUCUGGCCAAAGCACUUUGAUUUAUCUCCCCUGGUAUCCACCUGAUCAUUUCAGGCUGCACCCCAUGUUAUCCUAGAGCCCCAGUUCCUUCUUUUUUUUUUAAUGCAGGGAGAACAGUAACUUUUGCAUUUAGAUAAGGGGGUCUUGCAGAAGAAAGCAGCCCAUUGCACUUAACUCUCAAAUAUCACUGAAGGGGGAUGCUGCUUCCACUGGCUAUCAUAGGGUUAAGCAAUAUGCAAACUGAGGUCUCACUUUUUUAUGGCACAAUUUGGCCCGUGUACACAUUGGCUGUCUAUCCCCUGCACAUGGUCUUGCCAAGGUCGAGAAGUUUAUAAGCAGCAGUGAGUUGUGUGUUGGGUGGGUCCCAAUGCCCACAGCCUUAAGGAAGAGACCCUAUCAAUAUUGCCUCUGCUUUUGUGCUCAGAGUAGUAGUGCAAUAUUGCUUAUAGGGUCUUUUCCUUGAGACACCUUCAUUCUCCAACAAACUCAAGAAGAUAUUAACCCUGUCUAUCUACUAUCACGCAUUUUUCUGAAUGUUUUGUUUUUAUCUUGGGCUGUUUUCUGAGAGACAUUUGCAGCUUUAUGGGUGUCAUGUUGGCAAAUAUUUUUUUGCUAAAACAUAAUUGCAGAUAAUGUAAAUACCCAAAUAUGACACACACAUAAAUCAUGUAUUUCUACGAAUGUCUGGAUUUUAAAUAGGAUUCUAGUCCAGAUACACAAUUGCCUCCUGUGUAGCAAACGAGACGAGUGAAUUCCUUGGUUCAAAAAGUUUAUGAAUAGAGCUAACCAUGGGUUUACUAUACCUGUGCCAUUUUUCUCCUCCAAUUGGAUUUUCGUAUAUUUGAAUGCAAUUCUUAAUUUGGGGAUAUGAGUUAGAUUUUUGCUGGUAGUGAAAGGACUUUAAAGGCAAUAAAUAAAUACAUUUAUACAUUGAGUAUGGAUUGUCCUUCCAUAAGUCCUGCUAAACAGCAAGAGUCGCUUGUAAAUACGGAUUUCAUUUAUAUCAGGAUAUCCUAUGAAAAGUUAAGUAAUAAUGUUGGCCUGGGUUCAUUGUAUCAAAUGUUUGUAACAUUUGGGCUCUUGUUACUGUUUGUAACAUUGUAUCUGCGUGUUUGUCACACAUUUCAGUGUUUUCUGUGCUGCUAGCUACACACAGGCUUUGUUGAUAGGAACUAGCAGCUCAAAUAAAAAAACAAGGCAAUGUAUCUAAAUGCAGCAAGUGGCCGCACAAAAUAUAUUAAACGUCCUAAAAAGAUCUAAAAGAAAAGCCAGGAAUGUAUUAUCUUUGCCUGCAUCAGCCAUCAUGAUUCUGUAAGAAUAUAAAUAAUGGUAUAGUGUGCAGCACUCUCCCACCAUUCCAGUUCCUAAAUCGAGCUGUUUACGCUCACCCCUCCAUACACCCCCCUCCUUACACGGUGCAGCCCUCCUAGGGACCCUCAGUAAUUGGGGAUCACGUGAUCAGCUGUUUGGUCUGAGGUAUGUGAGAAAAGAGAGAAGGAUUGAAAUGUGCUGGGGAGGGGCAGUGUGGAGGGAGAGGGUGGCUGGGGCAGAAUGUGGGAAGGCAGUGGGAACAGACGGUUAGGGAGUAGGAAGAGAGGGAUAGGAGGGGUUGGCAGAGGAAGAGUGUGGGUGGCCUUUCCUACUAUUUUCAGGUGGUCUGUGGAUGUCUUUUGGGACCUGUGAGGCCCAGGAAUAGGGCGCAGUGGGUGGGGACCAGACACUCCCUCAAUAACAUCAGUUCAAGUUAAGAUUUUAUCCACUCUUCUACAAACGCAUAGGCAGCAGUGGCACCCAAGCCUUGGGCCCUAAACUCCGCUCCUCAGGCUUAUUCCAGGGCUCCAUUACUUACACGUGGCACUGCAUCUCCGCUUCCCUUCAUGUGGCUUCUCCUUAUUCUAUCCCUACUAUUUACACGGGAGCCUCAUGUUGUGCUGAUGUCCUAGUCCUGGGUCCCUUUUCUUUACUUGUAUUUGCCAUACAAUUACAGGCCGUAACAAUGUUGCACUAGUCGUGCUGCAGCAGGAUUCACUCAGUGGCGCAACCUUGCGCCGGACGCUUUGUGCAUCUGGACUAGCGCUGGUUUUCUAAUAAACUCUCCUGUCUGUAAAAGUGUUUAUUUACAAAAGCUAGCAGUGUUUUUAUCUGUACUUGUGGAUAACAAUGUGUGUAUUUUACAUGUAAACAACGUGUUUAUUUCCCAGAGAGAUGCCACUUGUCCUGGCGGCAGGAUACAUGGUUGCGGUGUUCUCUUCCCUCUAUAAAGGAAAAGGCUUCCUGGUGUCAGCAGGACAGUAAGUGUGUGCCCAGGCCGCCUGACACUCUUUCCCUGUUGCACUACUGUGCCAGUGAAUAAAGCAGUGCAAUGAUGAAAGGGCAUCAGUCUGGAGCUGAUCUCAGCACCGUGUCCUGCAGGGAACAACAAGCCGAGGAAUCCCCACGUCCCUCUCCCGCCGAUACUGUAACAUGGAUUCAACUACCGCCGUUGCAUUUUGUCAUUUUGUACAAAGGCAGAUGUUUCAAUAAAGCUGUACUAAGUGGGA